rnacentral:rRNA from 1 species
UACGAAGGGGGCUAGCGUUGCUCGGGAUUACUGGGCGUAAAGGGCGCGUAGGCGGAUACUUAAGUUGGGGGUGAAAGCCCGGGGCUCAACCUCGGAAUUGCCUUCAAUACUGGGUAUCUUGAGUUCGGGAGAGGUGAGUGGAACUCCGAGUGUAGAGGUGAAAUUCGUAGAUAUUCGGAAGAACACCAGUGGCGAAGGCGACUCACUGGCCCGAUACUGACGCUGAGGCGCGAAAGCGUGGGGAGCAAACAGG